GGUGGUAUGGCUUAGUGAUAGAACACGUGCUUAGCAUGCACAAGGUUUUGGGUUCAACCCCCAGUAUCUCCU
rnacentral:tRNA from 1 species